CCUACGGGUGGCAGCAGUGAGGAAUAUUGCACAAUGGACGCAAGUCUGAUGCAGCAACGCCGCGUGGAGGAUGAAGGCCUUAGGGUCGUAAACUCCUUUUUUCGGGGAAGCGGUACCCGAAGAAUAAGUCACGGCUAACUACGUGCCAGCAGCCGCGGUAAUACGUAGGUGGCAAGCGUUAUCCGGAAUUACUGGGCGUAAAGCGCACGCAGGCGGUCUUUUAAGUUUGACGUGAAAGCUCUCGGCUUAACUGGGAGAGGUCGUUGAAUACUGGGAGACUUGAGGAAAUGAGAGGGGUGUAGAAUUCCCGGUGUAGUGGUGGAAUGCGUAGAUAUCGGGGGGAAUACCAGUGGCGAAAGCGGCACCCUAGAUUUUCUGACGCUCAUGUGCGAAAGCGUGGGGAGCGAACGGGAUUAGAUACCCUAGUAGUC
rnacentral:rRNA from 1 species